CCCCUCUCAGGAUUGCACCUGGAGAGUUUCUAGUUUUCUACCAGUCUCAACUACGGGAGGGAGAGUCAAGCAGAGGCCUACCCAUUCCAUUUCUGGCUUGGCCAGUGGCUAGUGAGUCGAAGGCCAUCUGCUACAUGU